UACGUAGGGGGCAAGCGUUGUCCGGAUUUAUUGGGCGUAAAGAGCUCGUAGGCGGUUCCGUAAGUCGGGUGUGAAAAAUCUGGGCUCAACCCAGUGGAGCACCCGAUACUGCGGUGACUCGAGUCCGGUAGGGGAGUGUGGAAUUCCUGGUGUAGCGGUGAAAUGCGCAGAUAUCAGGAGGAACACCGGUGGCGAAGGCGGAUCUCUGGGCCAUUACUGACGCUGAGGAGCGAAAGCGUGGGGAGCGAACAGG
rnacentral:rRNA from 1 species